rnacentral:rRNA from 1 species
UAGGGAAUCUUCGGCAAUGGACGAAAGUCUGACCGAGCAACGCCGCGUGAGUGAAGAAGGUUUUCGGAUCGUAAAACUCUGUUGUUAGAGAAGAACAAGGACGUUAGUAACUGAACGUCCCCUGACGGUAUCUAACCAGAAAGCCACGGCUAACUACGUGCCAGCAGCCGCGGUAAUACGUAGGUGGCAAGCGUUGUCCGGAGUUAUUGGGCGUAAAGCGAGCGCAGGCGGUUUCUUAAGUCUGAUGUGAAAGCCCCCGGCUCAACCGGGGAGGGUCAUUGGAAACUGGGAGACUUGAGUGCAGAAGAGGAGAGUGGAAUUCCAUGUGUAGCGGUGAAAUGCGUAGAUAUAUGGAGGAACACCAGUGGCGAAGGCGGCUCUCUGGUCUGUAGCUGACGCUGAGGCUCGAAAGCGUGGGGAGCAAACAGG